rnacentral:rRNA from 1 species
CUACGGGUGGCAGCAGUGAGGAAUAUUGCACAAUGGGGGGAACCCUGAUGCAGCAACGCCGCGUGGAGGAUGACGCAUUUCGGUGUGUAAACUCCUUUUAUAUGUCAAGAAAAUGACGGUAGCAUAUGAAUAAGCACCGGCUAACUCCGUGCCAGCAGCCGCGGUAAUACGGAGGGUGCAAGCGUUACUCGGAAUCACUGGGCGUAAAGGACGCGUAGGCGGGUUGGAAAGUCAGGUGUGAAAUCCUACAGCUUAACUGUAGAACUGCACUUGAAACUUCUAAUCUAGAGUAUGGGAGGGGGAGAUGGAAUUGGUGGUGUAGGGGUAAAAUCCGUAGAUAUCACUAGGAAUACCUAAAGCGAAGGCGAUCUCCUGGAACAUUACUGACGCUAAGGCGUGAAAGCGUGGGGAUCAAACAGGAUUAGAUACCCUUGUAGUC